CUCUCCUGAAAGACAGGCUGCCCUCUGUGUGCACCAGGAACUCCUGACAGCUCCUACCUUAAGGUCUGCAACAAAGGGAGGCACAAAAGGCUUUGCUCAAGAUGUUCUAAGGUAAUCUUGCAGAAGGAAUGAAAUGAAAUCAGCACAAGCACCACUGCUUCAGUGAACUUUGGGGACUGCUGAAGAUAGAGGUAGAACUCUCAGUGGAUCAGUGAGUUAGAGGAAAUUUUAUCCUCCAAGCUCAUCAGUCUGGAUCCUGUAGAGUGGGAAUCAAAACCUCAUUCUGGAGUGAAGGAAUCUUGUCAUUUACAAUAUCUGCAGUGCCCAAGGCAGAGAGCCUAGCUAAGGAGCCUCCAAAUCCAUGAAAAUUCAUUAGGCUUGCUCUGCUGAUGAAGACAGGGCACGGCUAAGUGCCUGAAGAUGCUGCUGUGGAAAGGAAGCUCAGUUUCUCCUGGCCAGAGCAGAGACAAGAACUGAAAACGCUGCUGUCUGACAUCUACUGCAGUCUGGUACAGACAACCCUGCCUGCUCCGUGUUCAGGAGGAUCCAGCAGCAGGCAGGUAGCUCAGGGUGUGAGCCAGAAGGCUUUGGUUCCCAGCUUGGCUAUGGGAGGUGAGAGGCUGGCUGGAGUGUUCAGGAGCGGGGUGUGCUCAGUUGUGUAGGAUGGUGUUGUGCUCUUACCUCACCACAUGCGACAGCACAGAGCCUGCUCCUACUUUCUCGCCUUGGCUGCUGUCGGGGAACAUGUGUGGAGUGCCUGGUCCUGCUCCUUUAUUGCGUAAUUAAAGUUUGGGGAAGGAAACAAAGGAAAAUACUCCCACAAUCCCUGUCCUAACAAAUAUGGACUGCCAGAGUGGCCUUGCUUUAGCUUAGUUUCCAGUACUUGUUCUAGUUAGUUCACAUUUUUGUUGCUUAAUUUCUCUUUUUCCGCACUGAGUGCUUAAACCACUGUACCAGGGAGAGCUGUGUGCUCAAUUUGUGCAAUACCCUGCUAACCCCUGUGCAUCUACUCUGGAAAGCCCUCUUUGUGACUUUUUUUGAUUAAUGCAAAUGAAGUUUAAUGUUAAAUAUUUCAAGCACUGUUUCAGUGAUCUGAAUCCUGUCUUCCAGAUGGGGUUCUAAUUCCUUUUGCAUUCAAUUCCCCUAAAGAAGCACAUAUGAUGCUGGAAGCAAACCUUGUCCUGUGCAGGUUGGAAAGCCUAGAAAUGCUGCAGGUGCCCUUUCUGCGAAGAAAUCCCUGUGUAGUGCUGCUGAAGGUCUUAAAAGAGAGAAGGAUCCUGGCUGCAGUGCCCUGGAGGUGCAUCUAGAAUAGGACUCAUGGUUGUGAACCCCAGCCUCACAUCCAUGCUUAAACUAUUCACAACAGCAUAUCCAUAGAGACAGCACAGUUGUCUUACAAUUCAUGUUGAAAGAAAGUUAAAGACUAAACACAGCAGUAGAGGUUUAGCUUCCACCAUAUGGUGGGAUAUUUCCUGUUGUAUUAACAAGAUCUGAGGCCAUGAGAGAACAAUUUAAAAGACACAGUAUUAGGCUUGUUUCAGGCUCUUACCACUUCUUCAAAUCCUACCUUUGGGUAUCUCAUCUCAAGGAUACAAUUACUUUCAGAGCUCUAUCUGUCAUUAUCACUAUUAUGAGACAUGAUGUGCUUCAUAUUCUCACUAAAAUUAAAGAGAAGAUGGAAGGCAGAUAGUAUAAUGCAGUUCAAUAUCACUAAGAGAUGAAAUGGUAUAUAUAUGGCUACACGGGGAGAGUUUUAGCUAAAUUUGUUUUUUUGUUCAUAGUACCCUGUAGGCCCAUCAAUGAAAUUGCAUCUUUUACUGGCCCAGCCUAAUGCCAAGUAAUUCUGUUCUCUUUUCUGUUAUCUUUAUCUCAUUUUCUAAUGAUUCCUCAAGUGCUCUGCUCAAAUUAAAGUCUAACAUUUAUUCUUUUGUGAAAUGUUUUCACAAAACACAUUUGUAAUAUAAAUCAAUGCAAAGAAACGACUGAAUAAUACAGGCACAAUAUAUACAUCUAGAGAUCUAUUUUUAAUAUCUUCAAACUAAAAAAAAAGAAGAGGAAUGCAAAUAAGGUAAUGAGUAGUCUUGCCUUUUAUGUAUUCAUGUCUCACAUAUCUGAAAAAAAAGUAGCUGACAGAGCUGAGGUUUCGGGUUUGCUUGUUUCACAUCCUAAAUUCAAUAAAGCACAUUGUGUUAAGAAUAGGACUAUCAACAGAUGAUAUUUAACUAAAUCAGUGAUGAUUUCUGAUUUUCCCAUUCUCCUUGAAGGAUUGAUAGACUUAACACAGGGGUUUUUUAGAUGUUAAAAGUGUUAUUUUGAGAUGUUAAAACAGAGUGCUAUAAAAUAUGCAGCAGAAUAUACAACAGACGAGCAAGCUGAUAAACUUGUGUAAGAAACUACAGGUGAAAAAAAAAGAGAGGCAAAAAGGGUUCUUAAUGAAAGAGAAAAUAUAGCAAGGAAACCACCACAGAAAUUUAAUGAAAAGAGAAAUUAACAAAGGUAUCAAUGGACAUUUUAUGUAGUAAUCUAUCUAGGAAAAUAGAAAUACCUUUUAGUUGGCUAGUUUGUAGCUGGAGAUUUUGGAAACAGAAUGUAGAUAGUCAGGUUGUUUAUUUGGAGAUCUAAUAAAUUUUGUGUGUUCAUAUCA